CACUCCUCAUGGAGAAUAUUGCAGGCCUACAAUAUUACCCCCCUUUAGAUACUGAAAGGCUGCUCUCAGCUCUCCCCAGUGCCGGAUCUUCUCCAUGCUGAACAGCCCCAGCUCUCUCAGCCUGUCCUCAUAGGAGAGGUGCUCCAUCCCUUGUAUCGUGUUUGUGGUCCUCCUCUGGGUGUGCUCCAACAUGCCAACAUCUCUCCUGUGCUGAGGACUCCACAUCUGGAUUCAGCACUCCAGGUAUGUCAUCUGCAAGCUUUCUGAAGGUUUACUUGAUCCUACAGUCAUCAUCAUCAAUGAAAAUAUUAAAGAGCAUCAGCCCCAGUAAUGACCCCUGUGGGACACCACUCUUCACCAUCUCCAUCCAAACUAUUGACCACGACUCUCUGGGUAUGAUUUCACAGCCAAUUCCUCAUCUGCCGAGCAGUCCAUACAUUUUCAUAAAUUACCAAUUCUCUCCACACCUAGGUAUUUCAUAAAUUGCCUAGUGACAGCAAAGCCAUCUUCAUUUCAACAUCAAAGCGUUUUUUAUGCAUUUAAGACAAUACACAUAAACCGAAGGAAGAAAAUCCCUCAGCCAAAAAAUUACUAUCUGCAAAAAAAGUUGGGGUAGUCCUUCAACCAAGAAAUGACUAUUUGCAAACAAAUGGAAUAGAAGAUAUUUAGAGUUAAUGACCUGAAGGAACAUAUUUUUAUACAUCCAUGUUUGUCUUCUUACUUUUUGAUGUUCUUAAAAUUAUAUCGCAGGUAUUAUUUUUCAGGCUUGUGUGAAAACUCAAAUAUAAAACUAUUGAACUUUCAGAGUCUGUCACACAACUUUGCUUAUUUUUGUCUGCCAUGAAUUGAUUUCAUAUGGGAAAGUUUGCUGGAAGUAGAGAUGAAAAUGUCACUACAAGUUCGCUGCAGAAAGAAAAGCUUAUUUUUCUUUGAACACUUUUUUUUUUUUUUCCGGAACUGCCUUGCUUCUGCACUAAGUAAGUUUACUAACUUUAAUCCACCAACAAAUGAACUUUAUUCAACCAAAAUAUCUGUGUACUUUGUACAAAAUGAAUUUUCUUAUGUAGGCCCAGGACUACUGGAUGUUGUCAAGGCAAAUACUUCAUGGCACCAUACUUCCUUUUCUUGCUUUGGUCAGUUUUCAAGAAUAGUAGAAAAAUACGUAGUGUAAUAGAUAGAAUUGAAACAGGUGUAAGAAUGAUAUUUUCACAACAUUUCUAAUUUGAAAACCAAAUUUUCCCUCCCUUUGAUGUCUUCUGGCAUUCUGACUGAGAUAAAUGCAUAUAUAUAUAUUUGGUGCAGAUCUUUAUACCUGCAAGAGUCUCAAGAGGAAAUCAUACUUCCUAAAUUGUAAAUACUGAAGACAAGAUGGCAGUAGUACAGCUUUAAAAACCAUUCUUUCUCUAAAACCAUCAUACAAUAUGGUGCAGAAUAAAAUAUUUUGCCUCAUUAUCCUUUAGCAGUAUUUACAGAUGUUAUAUUUCUAAAUGAAAUGAUUUUCUUUUUAAAGAAUGAAGACAAAAAAUGAAAAUUCUCUCUCCAGACUAAUGCACAGCUUACCAUUAAGGGUAAUGGCUUUUGAUGAGGAGGAGCCUCAUACUGAAACAGAUUCCUGGAAUUCCAUAACCACUUGUACUAACGUUAAAUCAUUUCAAAGCAAAAACAAAAAGAACAGUACAGAUCUGUAAGAAGGAUCCACAAAAAGAAGUCUGAAACACCACUGAGACCAUUUAAUUUAGAGCUGAAAAACUGAAGGACACUCCAGAAUUCUGCAGUUAAGUGAAAAGCUUAUUAGUAAAAAAAAAGAAAAAAGACUGUAAUAUUCAUGUGUGGGGUGCAAAAAGAGAAAGCAAUGCACUUAAAUUUGGAGAAAUGAUAUUUAGACUACAAAAAGUUUUAAAAUGUUGAGAAUUUUAGUAAAAAUGUUGU